UCCAGUUUUUUUACCAUCCAGUUGGUUCAGUCCCUCUUUAAUCUGCUGCCAUUUAUUACAUAAUGAUCUAAGGAUCAAUAAUUAUUUAAUCAAAAUAACCUCUUAAACCAUAAUUAAGCUACAAUAUCUUUUUGGCUUACCUUACCGCUGAAUUCUCAAGAUAGAAAAGAAAUCCGAGAGGGUCGCUGAAAUUUUUUCUGCUAAUUUCUAAGUCGAAAAAAUUGUUGAGGCAAUUAUCUUUUGCUGGAAAAAAGAUUUGCUUACCAUGGACAAUAUCUGUUCAAGAGAGAAAAAUACAAGACUCAACAAACAGAGAAGAUUAAAUCAUUUACUAGUGACAACAACAGAAGAUCAAAAAGAUCAAGAAAAGUCAGUUGGUGAAUAUAUUUUUUUCUCGGCAAGAAGAGACAACACAAAAGCAGGAUGUGACAGAAGGAAGCUUUCGUCCAUUGUGUCCUUCUCAGUUGUCUCAAGGAUAUUCAUCUAAUGAAAGUUUGACUCAACUCUUAAGAGAUGUUUCAUUUCCUGAUUUUAACAAGUAUUCUCAACAUUGAUCUCAAAGUUGAGAUGUAUACUUCUUUGGCAUUGUUAUUUUCUUUCAUAGAUUUUAUUCCAGUGUGCAAUUGACUUUCGCAUCUGUGAAUUAAGUUUUUUCUUUCCAUUUUUUGGUGUCAAGGCCAUAACCCACUCGUGGUUGUUGAAAUUUGUUUUCCCACCAAUUAUUUAUUUUUUUGGAACAAUCUAGUGGCAGUUUAUUGUCAUCAUAUUGACAAUUGAUAAUUUAAUUGAGGUUUGAUUAUUGUU